rnacentral:lncRNA from 1 species
UUUCUCUCUUCCCUCACCUGUAGAUUUUGGAGAUUGUUGCCUCUUGCUUGGGUGAAGCUUCUUCUUAGUUUGAUUAGUUGGAAUAGAAAAGAUGUUUGUGUUUGGAUCAAUUGUCAUAGAUAUACAAGGUUUUAUAUUAAUCCCUUUUUUGUGUUUUUAUUAAUUAUUUCAUAUUCUUCAACUUUAGGAUAACACAUUUAUAUCCAUUGCAUCACAAUAUUGCAAAAUUUAUUGUAUGAUUGAUGUUAUUUGUUUGUUGUUAAUUUGGAACUAGAUUUUGACUCACGUGUUGUGCGAGCGAAAAUAUUUUUUUUAUUGAUUAGAUUUAGAUGUGAUAUACCAUAAUAUUAGUUUAAUAAGUUUUUUCUAUCAAAAAAAAUUUAAUAAGGAAAAUGCUAACGAUUAUCUUUGGUGCGUUCUUUAAACACUUUAAAUUAAUGUUAUGUUUUUAAGAAAAGUCGUGUAUUUAAUGCUUUGGAAAUUAUAAUAAUUGAUUUUUUGAAAGAAUAAUUGUUCUUAGGAUCUUAAAGAGUAUCUUGGAGACACUUGUUAGCGAUGUCCUAAUAAUGAUGUAAUUUGGCUUUGAGGAUAAGCUUUGCUUGCUUUAUCAAACAACUUGACAAUGGAAGAUUUUUCUUAAAGUGACGUAUGAAAUGAGACAUUAGAAGAGUCAUGUAAGAGUGACCAAUGUUCCACAAAUCAAGUAUUAAUUCGUCGAGUUUACGUUUAUAGGUACCAAAAUUGUGUCAAUUUGGAGGUAAAUUUGAUUAAACUCGGAAUGUUUGUCUCGGUCAAACUCGGGUAAACUCGGAAUGUAAGUCUAAUGUUUUUUAUUUUUUUAUUUUUUAUGGUUUUAUUAACAACUUUAGAAACUUGUGAAACUUGCCUUUUUGGAUGGUUAAGACUUAAGAGACUUAUGACUUUGCAAGUUUAUUUUGUAUUUUGAUGUUUAGUUGAACAAAAUGCUUUAUUAUGGUGGUUAAAAACCUUUAUA